rnacentral:rRNA from 1 species
GAUGAACGCUGGCGGCGUGCUUAACACAUGCAAGUCGAACGGAAAGGCUCCUGCUUGCAGGGGUACUCGAGUGGCGAACGGGUGAGUAACACAUGGGUGAUCUGCCCUGCACUUCGGGAUAAGCCUGGGAAACUGGGUCUAAUACCGGAUAGGACGAUGGUUUGGAUGCCAUUGUGGAAAGUUUUUCGGUGUGGGAUGAGCUCGCGGCCUAUCAGCUUGUUGGUGGGGUAAUGGCCUACCAAGGCGUCGACGGGUAGCCGGCCUGAGAGGGUGUACGGCCACAUUGGGACUGAGAUACGGCCCAGACUCCUACGGGAGGCAGCAGUGGGGAAUAUUGCACAAUGGGCGCAAGCCUGAUGCAGCGACGCCGCGUGGGGGAUGACGGCCUUCGGGUUGUAAACUCCUUUCGCUAGGGACGAAGCGCAAGUGACGGUACCUGGAGAAGAAGCACUGGCUAACUACGUG